UGGUGGAUGCCUUGGCGAUCACAGGCGAUGAAGGACGCGGUAGCCUGCGAAAAGCGGAGGGGAGCUGGCAAACGAGCUUUGAUCCUCCGAUAUCCGAAUGGGGAAACCCACCUCUUUUGAGGUAUCCGUAACUGAAUACAUAGGUUACGUGAAGCGAACGCGGUGAACUGAAACAUCUAAGUAACCGCAGGAAAAGAAAUCAACCGAGAUUCCCAGAGUAGUGGCGAGCGAAAUGGGACCAGCCUGUACUCUUUAUCUUCAUUGUUAGUCGAAGGCUCUGGAAAGUGCCGCCAUAGCAGGUGAUAGCCCUGUAGACGAAAACAGCGGGGAAGAACUAGGUGUACGGAAAGUAGGGCGGGACACGUGAAAUCCUGUCUGAA
rnacentral:rRNA from 1 species